AACGAACGCUGGCGGCGUGCCUAACACAUGCAAGUCGAACGAGAAAGGGGCUUCGGCUCCGAGUAAAGUGGCGCACGGGUGAGUAACACGUGGGUAACCUGCCUCUAAGAUUGGGAUAACUCGUCGAAAGAUGAGCUAAUACCGAAUAAGACCACAGUUCCCGCGGGAACAGGGGUCAAAGGUAGCCUCUGCUUGCAAGCUAUCACUUAGGAAUGGGCCUGCGCACCAUUAGCUAGUUGGUAGGGUAACGGCCUACCAAGGCAAAGAUGGUUAGCUGGGCUGCGAGGAGGAUCAGCCACACUGGAACUGAGACACGGUCCAGACUCCUACGGGAGGCAGCAGUGGGGAAUAUUGCGCAAUGGGCGAAAGCCUGACGCAGCAACGCCGCGUGAGUGAUGAAGGCCUUCGGGUCGUAAAGCUCUGUCGGGAGGAACGAAUGCUUCCGAGGUUAACAGCCUCGGGAGGUGACGGUACCUUCAAAGGAAGCACCGGCUAACUCUGUGCCAGCCGCCGCCGUAAAAC
rnacentral:rRNA from 1 species